AUCCUCGAAGGGUGAGGCAGAGGUGCAUAUUACGGCACGUGAUGCGACUGAACAAUGUACACACAGUUUUCACAAUUAAUGUUAUAAGUCAGGCACAUUUUCAGAUUCAGUGCUACUACUAAGAAAUUUUCGAAAAACCGAAAAACGCUCAGUAAUACUUCGCCCAACCCGGGAAUGGAAACCUUGUCCGGCAGUCGCACUUGCAACCAUUCGGCCAAUGAGGCAGUUUGACGUUAUAUAAUGUUAAGAUAUUGAUGACAAUGUGGGUGUACCUUUCUAAAUACACGUGUCAAUUUACAUUAUGUUACUGUUAGGCAUUAUACAACCAACUGGCUGAAAUUUUGAUAAUAGCAAUUAAUUAAGUUAUUUGUACCUAAAUCCUAUACAUUAUCACACGAAGAACUGAUUAAUAGAUACCAAAUCUGUUUUUUGGAACUUGAAUCAUUGAUAUUGUAUUAUUUAAGUUGAAAAUGAAUUGCCACGUCUGUAUUGUAUGCUACCAUUUUCCUUAGCAAUUGUGCCUAUUUGUGUACAGUACUGAUGAUAUAACUUAACCGACGUGACGUAUGCUGCAACUAUAUCGUUGUCUCUGUCGCUCAUGAACUUUUUACCUUAAUGGCGUCUCGCUCACUACGCCAACGCCUAACUUCGGAGUGGUCAAGAGCUGUCAACGGUUCUGUAUUUAUAGCCAAAAUAUGAAAAAGGCCAUAAGUGACUCAUGAAAUUCGUACGAAAAAAAUAUUUGGUGCAGAAUUAUCGGUGAUAUUAUCUUAUCAGUUCGAACACUAGCAUCGCUUUAGCUAACAAGUAGGCUACAUAAUAAGUCGUUUGUAAAAAUAAAUAACAGUUUUGUAACAGGGUCAGCGGCUGGGUGCAGUCAAAUAAAUAUCAUGGGUGAUUGCUUCAGUUGCUGUUGUGGCAGUAGCGGUGGUGGUGGAGUGACUGUGGUAGACCAGGCUUACAGUAAUGACGGAGGUUUCCAGCCCCCACCACCAGAUGGCGGCCAGGUCACUGACCACUCCAUGGAUAUGAUGAGAUGACACGACUGAACAGAGAUCCGAGCCACACAAGCCAUAGAACUACCACUACGCUAUGUAUUCAUCAUGUAACUUAAUAUUAUUUUAAUUAAAUUUAUUUUUUAAUUCUUA